ACUGGCAUAAUGAUGAUCUUUUUGCCGUUUACCCAUCUGACUGGUUAUUGAUGUGUAUGGUUAAAUCUGAAAUGCCAGU
ensembl:snoRNA